rnacentral:rRNA from 1 species
UCCCAAACCCAUGUGAACAUACCUAACGUUGCCUCGGCAGGUCGCACCUACCUUGUAGCACCCUACCCUGUAGGGCCUACCCGGGAGGUGCGGGUAAGCCUGCCGGCGGCCCACCAAACUCUGUUUGAUAUUGAAUUCUGAACCUAUAACUAAAUAAGUUAAAACUUUCAACAACGGAUCUCUUGGUUCUGGCAUCGAUGAAGAACGCAGCGAAAUGCGAUAAGUAAUGUGAAUUGCAGAAUUCAGUGAAUCAUCGAAUCUUUGAACGCAUAUUGCGCCCAUUAGUAUUCUAGUGGGCAGGACCGUUCGAGCGUCAUUUCAACCCUUAAGCCUUCGUUGCUUAGUGUUGGGAGCCUACGGCAACGUAGCUCCUCAAAGUUAGUGGCGGAGUUGGUUCACACUCUAGACGUAGUAAUUUUUUAUCUCGCCUAUUAGUUGGACUAAUCCCCUGCCGUAAAACCCCCAAUUUAUCAAGGUUGACCUCGAAUCGGUUCAGACAAACUCGCUAAAUUGAAGCAUCUUAGUCAGCGAAGGAAAAGAAACCAACAGGGAUUGCCCUAGUAACGGCGAGUGAAGCGGCAACAGCUCAAAUUUGAAAUCUGGCCCUCGGGUCCGAGUUGUAAUUUGUAGAGGAUGCUUUUGGCGCGGUGCCUUCCGAGUUCCCUGGAACGGGACGCCUUAGAGGGUGAGAGCCCCGUACGGUUGGACACCAAGCCUCUGUAAAGCUCCUUCGACGAGUCGAGUAGCUUGGGAAUGCUGCUCUAAAUGGGA